rnacentral:misc_RNA from 1 species
GGAAGCACAAUGAAUGCUGAAUAACUGAAAGGUCAUUCCAGAUUUCGCAACUCACGAGACAUAAAUUCCUGUCUUCAGUUAUUACUAAAUUCCUGACUGCACACUGUUAAAAGUCACGAGAUCAAAAAGGUAUAUGUCGAGACACAUCGUCAUCUUGAAAGUUAUCACAAACAGAGUACGAAGUUCAGACUACGCCUCUCAAACUUAAAUUUUAUCAUUGUCGACUUUCCCGCGAGAGUAUUUUUUGGAGCGUGAUGUCCAAAAAGUAGACAUUCACAAACUUGCGAGUGGGUUUUUCUGAUUGGUCUGACAAUGCCUCGCUCCACGACAGUUGGAGAAGCGACAUCUGUCACCUCAUGUGUCUAAGUUUUGUUCUGUUGCAACACGUAUCAAUCCUUUCCAUUGUAAAUUCAUUCUUUCUGCAGGAGAAUUCGAAAACAGGGCUUGAAGACGGCCCUCAUUAACGCCCACGGAAACACCCCCAGCAACUCAAGUGACGUGUUCGAUCCUGUCAUGCGAGGACCAAUUAGAUUUGAGUAUUAAAGCCAGCGGUCUAAAUAUGCUGUUCUUGAUACCUGCUAAAUAAAAGGGGGCUUUGCAGAAUCGUCAAAGUAUUUUAACUGCGACAGAAGCAGCUUAUGAUCUUAGAAAAUCGGGCAAAGGUGUGCAGAGAAACAGCGGGUCCGACCACAAACUCCGAAAAGCGUUGUCGAAAAUGGGGCCAGCAUUCAUGCUGACGUUCUUCGCCUUGGCUUGUCUUGUGGUCAGCUUCAUCAAGGGUGCACCACUUGUUCGAUCAGAAGCACUGGCCAUUGGAAAAGAUUCCAGAACUCAUGAUCACGAGAAUCCCAAAUUUACGAAUUACAUCAAGAAGCUCAUAAAGGGAUGGCGAGUAAAAGAAGUUAUGAAUAAAGAAGGAGAGAUCCAGCCUAAAGAAGGGCUAAAAACGGAAAUCCAAGUAAACGAUGCAAAGCGCAAAGGACUCGUAACUAAGGAACGUUUUGUGAGACACGCUGCACGUUGUUAUAAUUCAUGGAGUAGAUGCUUCAAAAAAUCAAGGCGAAAGCAAAAGGAGACUAGAAACCAGAGGACUGAAAACGGAGAAGGCUCCUCUACGCAGAAUAGUGAUUGAUGCUGCAAACUUCGACUGCGGCACAGAAACUGCCAAGCACGUGAAAACUGAAAGAUACCCACUUCGUUUGAGAAGAGAAAGUUUGACAAGCAAUUAUCUUUCGUAUCUAUUUUAUUUUCUUUGCUAUUGUUAUUUUUUAUAUUAAGUCUAUAGUCCUACCAAGUUAGUUUACAAGGCAUCAUGCAGACCCUUACGUUUGCCGGUGAAGCCUUCUUCGCUAUGUCUGUGGGUUCGAGGUACAACACUGAGUAUAAGCAGUUUAUACUACAACCAUCAGGAAUCCUCGAUUCGAAAUUUUAGUUUAAAUGCUCAAAAUGAUAGCUCAACAGCAACCUCUAGUUCAACUCAGUAUAGACCCUUUUCAUAAAUAUCUGCCAAUGUAAAAAUUAUUUUGUAUGCAUUUAAAUUAGCUACACUAAACUCGU